UUUUGCACUUUACUAGAGUCUUGGGCAAUUAUUUUCGUCACAGUAUCUUUUUAUCACAGCGAUUUUCCAUCACAGUUGUGUCGUUUCCAAGGUAGCCAAGGCAGCUGUUUAUGUUUGGUUUGCAUUUUUUGCAAUGUGGAAAACUUGACAUAUUUAUCUGGAUUGUACUUUAAAGACAAUCGGAACGGAACGGAUUAACCGGAAGUGCAAGCAAUACUUUAGAAGAGCUUUCGCCGAUACCGAAGACAAAGUAUACUGGAAUUGAACAGACAGAUUUGCUCGAUUUGCUGGAUUUUUACGGUUUGACAAGCGAGACAAAGUUGCCAGUUUGUCAAAAAUCUAUAUCGCUAGCAGUGUUUCCAGUUUUUGCAGAGAACCGGUAUAACCGAGUACGCUGCGGCAGCCGCGGCAGCGCCAUCUCCUCGAUAAUCUCGCCCCAGUCCUCGCAGGAAUUGACCUUCAACCUCCAAUCCCGGGCCCCGCCCUGUAAACAAACACUUUGGUGGGUCCGGUGCACCGCGGUGGUGCUGGUGAGUCUAGGACGCAAAGCAAAGCCGACGCGGAAACCUUUGUGAGCCAAACAGCAGCAGCGGAACGGAAAGUGGUGCGGGACGGGGUCGAGUGCUCGAAAAGGACAAGGCCAGCUUCCUGCAGGAACUACAAGCUGUUCCGGGACCGGAAUGGGAUGGAAGGUAGGAAUGUGGAUUCGCACCGGUUGUAUUCGGUGGUGGUGGCCCAGGAUUGGAGGUUGAAGGUCAAUUCCUGCGAGGACUGGGGUGAGAUUAUCGAGGAGAUGGCGCUGCCGCAGCGUUGCAUGAACAACGAGUUUGCGUUGAAGAAGAUUCACGUCUGGUUUUUGGACAAGUACGAGAAAGUUAAUUUUCACGGUGAGUUGACGGAUCCGACGAAGAGGAGGACGACUAGCGGCAUAAUCGGAGGUGGUCAGCGCAGAUGUUGCACUCGGUGCAGGCGGUUUACAACACCGCAACUUUCCACCCAUAAACGCUCACCUCGCGACGGCGCAGCUCCAGCUGAAUGAACCUUGACAGCGAGCCGGAAAAUCUGUCAUUCUCGAAGGUGGAUGAAGUGCUCAAAAUCGAAUUCUGUUCCAACGAUCUCAUCAACCCCAUGUUCCGGAUGCGCUUCCAGGAUCGGGAUCUCCCCGUUCAAGCACUUCACUUCCCAGUCGGGAAACGUCGACCACCCUUCACGAAUUAACGGCCAACUCCUCCAAGACUGUCCUGAUAAAGGCCGGCAACGUGACCUGCUGUCCUCUACACUACUGUCGCGCGUCGAAACGUCCAUCCGGAACCGUCCAGCCUGGGGUCUUCGGAAGUGACCGGUGGCGUACCGUAAGAAUCGGUACAGCUUGGACUCUGAUGUUGGCCAACCUUGAGCAGAAGCGUUAAAUACAAUAAAAAAAAUGUUUUUUUUAGCAUGCCGUUUUGAACUUUUUAAAAUAAAUAUGAAAAUCAAGCUCAUUUUUUGAAAUUAUCACUGUAGUAUUAAAUGUAGUUUAUUCUUGCCAUAAAAGGUUUCCUUUCCAACAAAAAGUAAAACACUUUUACCGAUACAACGAUUUUGUUCCAUAAAUGCAUGGUAGUAUCAAAAACUUUCCAACUUUUAAAUUAAAAAGUUUGAACUUUCUACGAAUAUUCACCAACGCGAACUUUUAAUCCAACGAGCGAUCUUUUUAAAUUUAGAGUAUUUUUUCUUUGUGUGUGUGUACGUACAAGCUGUAAACAUACACUGAAAAUAUGCCACACUUUUUAUUCAAGUGCCUUAACACUUGAAUGAUUGAAUAAAGUCACAUCGUAGAUCUAAUUGGUUUGUGUUUAAACAUAAAUCCAACCCGCAUAAUCAAAAACCAUCGGGGGAAUAGUCCAAACUAUAUUACUACUAAAAGAGAUGUAGUUACCACAUACUUAACCAUUAUCAUAUAGUUACGGCACUAUACAAAACCAUAACAAAACUGAUCGUCAAAUGAUGACGUUUUUAUUGAAGUAAAUCUAAUGAUUCUAACUAUUUUUGAACUAUUUGGGGUACAAUAACCUUACACUAAACAGUUCGGAUUGUUUAGACAACGUGACUCAACGAAAAAAUGUACAAGUCCAAAUAGUUCAAACAAUUUAUCAACUUUAUUGAGAACAAUAUAGCAAAAUUCCACAGAUUUUAGAUUUUUAUAGUCAGAACCUGUAAGAACUAAAAACCUACUAUAAAUGCUAUAGUAGAACACAAUUGAUGGCGGCCACAUUUUUUUCGAUAAGUUUGUAUAAUCCAAAUAAUUUGUCAACUUACAUGAAGUAAAAUUACUAUACACCAUACUAUUUUGAAUUAAAAAUUUCUAUAAGUCCAAAUAGUUCAAACAAUAUUUCAACAGUAUGGAGUACAAUUACAGUUUGUUAUAUAAUCCAACUAUAUGUUAAACGAUUGGUACAAAAAUUUCAACUUUUAUCAAGUAAAUUGAUCACAGUCGAUUCCUCUGGAUGAUAGAGAACCUUCAACACCCCCACUUCUCCUCAGAUUAUCAGAAAACUCCCCAAAAGAAGAAAAAUGUUACGAGGGCUCAUGAAAUUGACUUUCACUAUUCCAGAAAAAGUAGGCAUGCUGUUCUUACUAUACACCAAAAAUAUGUGUACUACAUGGUAGACUAUUACUGUUCACUAUAAAAUGAGUCAAUUGUUUGGACUACUUGGACUUAUCGAAAAAUACUUGCCCCCGAGCUUGCUCCCUUCUAACACAACAUGUCACCAAAACCACUGAAAAACCACCAACAGAUAUAGAUCAAUCGGAUAAGGCGGCAGCAGUUCGGCAGCAACGUAAAUAACAUCACAUAUAACGGCGGUAAACAUUCACCAACUAUCGAUAGAACUUAAAAAUCAAAUUUGAUUAUAUCCGAAGUAGUUAUCACAACAAUUGUAGGGUUCAUUUUUGCGGUCUUUUUUAAAGUGUCGGCAAAGUAGUGUCGGUAAAGUAGUUUUUCAGAAACUAUAUAGGGAAUAGUCAAUUUUUUGGGCAAUGACUAUUUGACGUAAAAUCCAAGUUUAUAAAAAUAUUUACAUAUGUAUGAAAACCUCAUAUAGUUUUCUGCCUAACAACUAAUUUCUCAUAUAGUAAAAUCGACCAAAACUAUUUUGGGAAUGGAAUUGAUGGUUUGAUAUAUCGUACAUAUAUAGUUGGGUUACAAUUUAAUGAAUAGUAGAGACCAUUUGAUAAAUAGUUGAGUAACUAUUUGUCAUAAAGUAGUUAUAUAGUUCAUGACUAUGCGGGAAACCACUAUCAAAUGCAAGUGUUUGGGCGGUUGACUUUUUGGUAUUUUUUAACAUGUUAUUUUCAUUCGGGUGGCUCAAGCUUUUCAAGUGUUUUGCUCAUGAAUUUGUCCCACCGUCUUGAACUAUUCAAAGUGAUGAGCCAAACACUUCAAAAUGAUCUUAAGAUCUACCCAAAACAGGCACUAUUCAAAGUCAACGUGAUUAUCCACAUGAAUUUAAUGUGUUUCACUGAUUGAUUUUCAUCGAAGGCUAGAAGCGAGGCAAGAACGAAUAGCACAAAAAACUCUCCCGUCUUUAACUGGCCGGCCGGCGCAGUGGUAGCGUGCACGACUAGCAAGCGAGAACCUGUAAAUCGCUUGUACGUACUUUUAUUUUUCAACACCAUUUAAAAUUCAAGUGUUUGGCUAUUGAAAUUAUUUAAUGACCAAUCACCGAAAUUUCAAGUGUUUUGCGAUUGAUAUUUGAGUGCUCUGUACAGCAGGGCCAGAUCAUGUGUAGAACACUUCGUUGAGCUGUGUAAGUUUUGCUCAGUGUAUUUUCACUUGCUAGUCGUACACGCUACCACUGCGCCGGCCAGCCAGUUCAAAACGGAAGAGUUUUUGGUGCUACUGGUUCUAGCUUCGCUUCUAGCCUUCGAUAAAAGUCGCGCUAAAAUCAAUCAGUGAAACACAUUAAAUUCAAGUGGAAAAUCACGUUGACUUUGAAUAGUGCUUGUUUCGUGUGGAUCUUAAGAUCAAUUUCAAGUGUUUUCCUCAUCAUUUUGAAUAGAUCAAGACGAUUACCCUUCCCGAUUACCCUUCCCGAUUACCCUUCCCGAAUAACGGCCAAAUCCUCCAAGACUGUUCUGAUGAAGGCGGCAACGUGACCAACCCGUGGACCAACCUGUUCUCUACACUGCUGUCGCGCAUCGAAACGUCCAGCCUGGGGUCUUCGGAAGUGACCGGUGGCGUACCGUAAGAAUCGGUACAGCUUGGACUCUGAUGUUGGUCAACCUUGAGCAGAAGCGUUAAAUACAAUAAAAAAAUGUUUUUUUAGCAUGCUGUUUUGAACUUUUAAAAAUAAAUAUGAAAAUCAAGCUCAUUUUUUGAAAUUAUUACUUAAGUAUUAAAUGUAGUUUAUUCUUGCCAUAAAAGGUUUCCUUUCCAACAAAAAGUAAAACACUUACCGAUACAACGAUUUUGUUCCAUAAAUGUAUGGUAGUAUCAAAACUUUCCAACUCUUAAAUUAAAAAGUUUGAACUUUCUACGAAUAUUCACCAACGCGAACUUUUAAUCCAACGAGCGAUCUUUUUAAAUUUAGAGUACCCGCAUAGUCAUGAACUAUAUAACUACUUUAUGACAAAUAGUUACUCAACUAUUUAUCAAAUGGUCUCUACUAUUCAUUAAAUUGUAACCCAACUAUAUAUGUACGAUAUAUCAAACCAUUAAUUCCAUUCCCAAAAUAGUUUUGGUCGAUUUUACUAUAUGAGAAAUUAGUUGUUAGGCAGAAAACUAUAUGAGGUUUUCAUACAUAUGUAAAUAUUUUUAUAAAUUUGGAUUUUACGUCAAAUAGUCAUUGCCCAAAAAAUUGACUAUUCCCUAUAUAGUUUCUGAAAAACUCCCGGAUAAACGAAAACUAUAUCGAUUGCAGUGUGGAACUUAAAAAAACCUUAUGAGAUAUGGUCACCAUUUGUAAUAAUGUUAUUUGGCGGACCUUGAUGACUAUUAGUCAAAUGGUCACCAUAAGUAAUAGAGUUAUUUUAAUGUUUGUAAUGGUAAACAAUUUUCUUGAUCACUUUAAAAAACUAUUUGCAGAUGUUUUCUCAAAUGGUUACCCUAAAUCAUAAGGUAAUUUUAAAAUUCAAAUGGUUCAACUGGCGGACUUGGAUGAUUGUUUGUCAAAAGGUUACCAUAAUUGUUAUAGUUAUUUCAAAGUUUGUAAUGGUAACAAGUUUUUUUGAGAACAAUAAAAAACUAUUUACGAUUUUUUCUUGAAAUGGUUACCAUAAAUCAUAAGGGUAUUUUAAAGUUAAAAUGGUAAACCUUGAUACGCGAGCACCAUAUUGAAUCAUUAAAUAACCAUUUGAAAAAUAGUUACCAUUUUAUUUUAUUUUUCCACAAAAACAAAAUGGGUACUGUUAUUUAUUUUAGAUUUUUUUAGAUUCUAUUUAACGAAUUCUUUAAAGUUUAUUUAUGUCUUACAUAUUUGUAAACAUAAAUCCAACAGGUGGACAAAAAACUUCACUUCUUUAUUCAACUUCAAUUUGUAAAAUUUUAAAGCAAAAAUCAUCAAAGAUUUCAUAAAUUUGUGUUUAUGUUAUCACUUUUUUGUUAUUCAGAGUCUAAAAAUAUCUCUAUUGAUUAAGGCUGUAUCAUUCCCGGGCGGCCAUUUA